rnacentral:rRNA from 1 species
UACGUAGGGGGCAAGCGUUGUCCGGAAUCAUUGGGCGUAAAGAGCGUGUAGGCGGUCCGGGUAAGUCGGCUGUGAAAGUCCAGGGCUCAACCCUGGGAUGCCGGUCGAUACUGCCGGGCUAGAGUCCGGAAGAGGCGAGUGGAACUCCUGGUGUAGCGGUGGAAUGCGCAGAUAUCAGGAAGAACACCGACGGCGAAGGCAGCUCGCUGGGACGGUACUGACGCUGAGGCGCGAAAGCGUGGGGAGCGAACAGG